UAGGAGAAAAGGAAGGAGAAAACUGUUUUCAAAGCAGAAAUAACACUUGAGCUUGCAAAAGCACGAAUGGUCAUCAAGUUUCUUCCUCAGUCGUGUUUACAGAUAAAAAUAUGUAAUAUAACUUAACAUGGACAGUGAAGGAAGUCAUUCUUAUGUUAAGCUUUUCCAAAAGCUAACUGUAUAAAAUCCACUGUUUUAGAACACAGGCUCAGAGGCACAGCAAGCAGAAAGGAGAAGAAGCCUUUGGUGUGUCACUGCCUUCUAUGUACCAAAAACCAAGUAGUCACAAUGUAUUUAUUUAAGGGUACCUGGAACAUGUCAACUUGUGUGUCUUGACUUAGGUAACAAAAUAAACUAUAAAGAGAAAUCAAGCAUCACGAUGAUCACAACAUCAGAAUUUUGAUUAACAGCAACAUACCAGAUUUGCCCUUAAGCUUGAUUCUAAGUACAGAUACAAAUCUGUACUUAGAAAUGCCUACAGAUGGAGAGCAAUGUCACUUGAUUUCAGUUACGGUCUCCAGUUUACCCAAGUGAUCUAAACUACACUGUGAAUUUCAGUAGAUCCGUGGUUUCUGUAGGAGCCAACAAGUCCAGUUCAUACUGCAGGGAGAAGAAAGAGGUAAGAACAAGAGAGGAGAGAACAGAUGGAAAAGGUGAAGCAAAAGAAAUCAAAACCAAAAUCAAACACACAAAACUACCCCCACAGUGCUCACAGGCAGCUGCCCAGCUGCAGCUGGGAUGUAGUGUGCCUGCAUUGCAUCCAGGGCAGAAUGUGAAGCCUGACAGCCAGGUGAAACACCAUCCUAAAUGGAAACAAACACUCCCUUGUACUGAGGAAUACAAUAACUUCUUCACACUGAAGUUACCCUAUCAGAACACCAAGAGAUUUUCUCUUGGAGAGCUGUUUAUGACCCGACAUGUUGCGAAGGCCUGCAGGCCCAACAGAAGCUGUCUGCCCGCUCGCUGCCUGCAGUGCUUGUGCUGGCCCGGCUGCGGCAGCAUCCUACAACCAGACACAGGCAGACACGACAGCACGUGGCACACUGCGCCGUGCCCGUCUGCCUCAGCAACAGAACAGCUCUGAAAUAUUCCAGCACUCUGCAGAUGCUGACAUACCAGCCAGGUUAACAGGUUAAGGAGAGGCCCCGUGAUGAGGAACUGUCCGUAUUCCUUAGAGAUCUCUUCAAUGAAGUACUGCACUCUGUUUCCAAAGAAAACAGGAGUAAACCAGUUUUUUACAUGCAGAUGAAGACAAGUGAGAAGCCCAUCAUGAGUCAGGUGUAACUGUCCCCAAGGCACACUGCAAGCAAUGGGAAAAGCACUCCAGGACUGAAACACCAGAGCUGCCAGAGAGGACAUUCCACCAUUUAGGGGGUGUAAACAUCAGAAAAGCAAAAUACACGUUCCAGUGUGAAUUGCCAGUAACAUUCUGCACAGGUUCGAAAUACAACCACCUGGUUAGAUACCGUAUACCUCUGUCUUACAAAAAGCAGAACUCAAACAACCACUUAAGCAGUGAAUGUACUUAUCAUGGAGUUACCACACAGCUGGUGCAAUGGAAAUAGCUGCACAAACAUGCACCUAGUUAAUGUGUAACUGCAAACUCUGGAUAAGACCUGGCUGGUCACAAAAGCAGCUUGUUGAGACAUCAGUUUUCUCUUUCUCUGGAAAGCGGAUGUUUCACACAACAAUGUUCUUCACAAUCAAAUUGUAGCUCCGCUUACAUACUCAGGAGGCAAACGCAGCAUCUCAGUAAUGAAAAUCACUACAAUUUCCACUGCUGUAACUCAUACCCAAGUUCUAACCUGCAAACACCCAACUCAACCAAAGAUCAGAAUUAAAAUCCUACCAUUAUUACAGGUUUUCUGCAUACCCUCAAGCAAACAAUGUUGCCACUUUGUGUCUCAUGCUCUUCCUUGAAUACAGAACAAAAUUCCUGACAA